GACGAACGCUGGCGGCGUGCUUAACACAUGCAAGUCGAGCGGAAAGGCCCUUCGGGGUACUCGAGCGGCGAACGGGUGAGUAACACGUGAGUAACCUGCCCUGGACUUUGGGAUAACCCUCGGAAACGGGGGCUAAUACCGGAUACGACUUUUCCUCGCAUGAGGUUUGGUGGAAAGUUUUUCGGUCUGGGAUGGGCUCGCGGCCUAUCAGCUUGUUGGUGGGGUGAUGGCCUACCAAGGCGACGACGGGUAGCCGGCCUGAGAGGGCGACCGGCCACACUGGGACUGAGACACGGCCCAGACUCCUACGGGAGGCAGCAGUGGGGAAUUUUGCGCAAUGGGGGAAACCCUGACGCAGCAACGCCGCGUGGAGGAUGAAGUUCCUUGGAACGUAAACUUCCUUUCGACCGGGACGAUGAUGACGGUACCGGUAGAAGAAGCCCCGGCUAACUUCGUGCCAGCAGCCGCU
rnacentral:rRNA from 1 species